UAGCUAGUUGGUGAGGUAACGGCCCACCAAGGCAACGAUCGGUAGCCGGACUGAGAGGUUGAACGGCCACAUUGGGACUGAGACACGGCCCAGACUCCUACGGGAGGCAGCAGUGGGGAAUAUUGCACAAUGGGGGAAACCCUGAUGCAGCGACGCCGCGUGGAGGAAGAAGGUCUUCGGAUUGUAAACUCCUGUUGUUGAGGAAGAUAAUGACGGUACUCAACAAGGAAGUGACGGCUAACUACGUGCCAGCAGCCGCGGUAAAACGUAGGUCACAAGCGUUGUCCGGAAUUACUGGGUGUAAAGGGAGCGCAGGCGGGAAGACAAGUUGGAAGUGAAAUCUAUGGGCUCAACCCAUAAACUGCUUUCAAAACUGUUUUUCUUGAGUAGUGCAGAGGUAGGCGGAAUUCCCGGUGUAGCGGUGGAAUGCGUAGAUAUCGGGAGGAACACCAGUGGCGAAGGCGGCCUACUGGGCACCAACUGACGCUGAGGCUCGAAAGUGUGGGUAGCAAACAGGAUUAGAUACCCUGGUAGUCCACACCGUAAACGAUGAUUACUAGGUGUUGGAGGAUUGACCCCUUCAGUGCCGCAGUUAACACAAUAAGUAAUCCACCUGGGGAGUACGACCGCAAGGUUGAAACUCAAAGGAAUUGACGGGGGCCCGCACAAGCAGUGGAGUAUGUGGUUUAAUUCGACGCAACGCGAAGAACCUUACCAAGUCUUGACAUCCUGCGACGAUGCUGGAAACAGUAUUUUCCUUCGGGACGCAGAGACAGGUGGUGCAUGGUUGUCGUCAGCUCGUGUCGUGAGAUGUUGGGUUAAGUCCCGCAACGAGCGCAACCCUUACUGUCAGUUACUACGCAAGAGGACUCUGGCAGGACUGCCGUUGACAAAACGGAGGAAGGUGGGGAUGACGUCAAAUCAUCAUGCCCUUUAUGACUUGGGCUACACACGUACUACAAUGGCGUUAAACAAAGAGAAGCAAGACCGCGAGGUGGAGCAAAACUCAGAAACAACGUCCCAGUUCGGACUGCAGGCUGCAACUCGCCUGCACGAAGUCGGAAUUGCUAGUAAUCGUGGAUCAGCAUGCCACGGUGAAUACGUUCCCGGGCCUUGUACACACCGCCCGUCACACCAUGAGAGCCGGGGGGACCCGAAGUCGGUAUCCUAACCUGAAAAGGAGGGCGCGGCCGAAGGUGGGUUCGAUAAUUGGGGUGAAGUCGUAACAAGGUAG
rnacentral:rRNA from 1 species